UACCGCUAAAACACUUAGAAAAAAAAAGUUCACUUAUUAUCAAUUAAAACCUAAUUUCUCUCCUUUGUUUUUUUAUCCUUUUUCUCCUCAUCCAGUACCUCUUCGCCAUCUUCAUCUUCAGCUUUUGGAUCUAAAUAAGCAAUCAGAUGAACCAGCGGCGGUGGCGGAGGAGGAGGAUUCGCCUGGAUCUGCCGCCAACGAGUCAUCAAAACCGCCGUCGGAUCGACCUUCUCUUCGUCAACAUGGAUCUUCUUCUUCAUCGUUCCCAGGAUCGUCAUCGUCUUUCACGGAAGAACAACGAGCGAUUGUGAGGGAGAUAAAAUCGAAGAAGGAUUACUAUGAGAUUCUUGGAUUAGGAAACACAUGUUCAGUUGAAGAUUUGAGGAAAUCGUAUCGGAAACUCUCGUUAAAAGUUCAUCCCGAUAAGAACAAGGCUCCUGGUUCUGAAUAAGCUUUUAUUUUAAUUUUUGGUGGAUUCAGAUUCGUGGGUCUCUUAACAUGUUGGUGAUUUUCGCUCUGGUUAAGUCUUUGUCUUAGAUUGUUGCCUUCUAGGUCGCUUUAAUGGUGUGUGAAAGGUGAAAGCUUUAAGCUUCGUUUCUAUCUCUUUGAGAACAAUAAGGAGUGGUGACAAAUUGUGACACCAAUCUCUUCGUCUCUGGCAAAGCGAGAGUUCACUUUUGGUGAUAGUCUAGAAGAGAGUAACUGAGUUAGAGGAACAAGUGGAGAGAAUUUGGAGCCAGACUCAUUAAGCUCCUAAGCUUAGAACAGCCAUGACUUUAAGACGUAUCCAUUCUAGUUUUGUCCAAUUUUAUAGCAAGGAUGAGAGACACGUAGAAGAAAGACUGAACCCUACGACGAAGUCGAAAUGGUCAGGCUAAGGCUGAAAAUUAUUAAGUUGAUAAGAUUGUGGCCUUUAUCUUGCAAGCAUUCUUUACUGAGCUGGAUCAUGAGGAAGAAGAAAAAUUGUCAAGGACUGGAAUGAAGGUAAAUUGUUGUAAGAAGUGCAAGUGGCUAUCGCGGUCAAGUUUGUCUAUGUUCUCAAUGAACACUUGUAGGACAUGCUCGAAAAUGAGUUUUAUGCUGGUGCUUACAAGGGAGUUGUAUACUUACUUACUAGCUCAAGCAAAGCAACAAUGUGGUGAACAGAUUACUACUUCUAAGAUGAGUGGAAUGGUUUGAACAAAAGAAGACAGUAGCAGUAUUGAGAUGGAAUUUAGUGCAGCAAGGCAAGAGGGCUUUGUUCCAAAAUCCCAAACAUACUAAUCGAAUUGAAAGGUUAAUGGCAUAUGAGCAGAUACAUAUGAAGAGGAUAACUAACAUGUCUUUUUCAUGUAUUCAAAGUGAACUAGUAGCUGUUCAUUGGACUGUUUCAAGAAACGCUGAGUGAGCAGGUAAAAGAGAGCCUUUGCUACAAGUAAGAAAGGCUUGGAUGGGUUAUAUGUACAUGUCAAAUAAUGUUUCUAUUAUUUUUAAUGUUAGUUUAUUUUGUUUAAGACUUGGUGACACUUUGUUAUGUAAGACUUAUUUUGG